AUUGAACGCUGGCGGCAUGCCUUACACAUGCAAGUCGAACGGCAGCAUGGGUGCUUGCACCCGAUGGCGAGUGGCGAACGGGUGAGUAAUGCAUCGGAACGUGCCCUGAAGUGGGGGAUAACGUAGCGAAAGUUACGCUAAUACCGCAUAUUCUGUGAGCAGGAAAGCAGGGGAUCGCAAGACCUUGCGCUUUAGGAGCGGCCGAUGUCGGAUUAGCUAGUUGGUGAGGUAAAGGCUCACCAAGGCGACGAUCCGUAGCGGGUCGGAGAGGAUGAUCCGCCACACUGGGACUGAGACACGGCCCAGACUCCUACGGGAGGCAGCAGUGGGGAAUUUUGGACAAUGGGCGCAAGCCUGAUCCAGCCAUGCCGCGUGAGUGAAGAAGGCCUUCGGGUUGUAAAGCUCUUUCGGUGGGGAAGAAAUGGUUUCGGUUAAUACCCGGAGCUGAUGACGGUACCCGCAUAAGAAGCACCGGCUAACUACGUGCCAGCCGCCGCCGUAA
rnacentral:rRNA from 1 species